rnacentral:rRNA from 1 species
AGUGAACGCUGGCGGUAGGCCUAACACAUGCAAGUCGAACGGCAGCACAGUAAGAUCUUGCUCUUACGGGUUGCGAGUGGCGGACGGGUGAGGAAUACAUCGUAAUCUACUUUUUCGUGGGGGAUAACGUAGGGAAACUUACGCUAAUACCGCAUACGACCUACGGUUGAAAGCAGUUGAUCUUCGCACCUUGCGCGAUUGAAUGAGCCGAUGUCGGAUUAGCUAGUUGUCGGGGUAAAGGCCCACCAAGGCGACGAUCCGUAGCGGGUCGGAGAGGAUGAUCAGCAACACGGGAACUGAGAAACGGUCAAGACUCCUACGGGAGGCAGAAGUGGGGAAUAUUGGACAAUGGGCGCAAGCCUGACGAAGACAGACCGCGUGGGUGAAGAAGGCCUUCGGGUUGUAAAGCCCGUUUGUUGGGAAAGAAAAGCAGCAGGUUAAUACCCCGAUGUUCUGACGGUACCCAAAGAAUAAGCAACGGCUAACUUCGUG